UACGUAGGGCGCAAGCGUUGUCCGGAAUUAUUGGGCGUAAAGAGCUCGUAGGCGGCUUGUCACGUCGGGUGUGAAAGCCCGGGGCUUAACCCCGGGUCUGCAUUCGAUACGGGCUAGCUAGAGUGUGGUAGGGGAGAUCGGAAUUCCUGGUGUAGCGGUGGAAUGCGCAGAUAUCAGGAGGAACACCGGUGGCGAAGGCGGUUCUCUGGGCAUUACCUGACGCUGAGGAGCGAAAGUGUGGGGAGCGAACAGG
rnacentral:rRNA from 1 species